AUUCUUUUUUCUACUGUUUCUAUGAUGGUACUGCUUUUUUGGAUUGAUUACUAUUCAUAAAUCAUAAUCAAAUUGAAAUGAAAUAUGGACGAAUUUUGAUUAGUAUUUGAGAAGAGAUUCCGACGCCAUGAAUAUUUAUGAACGGUAACUAUUUAUGCUCUAGUUAUUUAUUGUUUCGUUAUUGCUGGACGUUUAAGAUCAUCAGUUUCAUUAUUGGGCACAUGGAUUGUUUUUCUCUGAAAUUCUCCAAAUCGAUCUCGAUUCUGUUAAAUAGGAUCGUUGUCACCUGGCGUAUCUUUGAACUCUGUCUGAUGAACUGCUUGUAAAUCUUCGAUGAAGAAUUUUGAUAACUUCUGAAGAAAAUAUCUGCGUUAUUGACCAUUUCGAGCUGUAGUGCCCGGAGAUAGAGUUGUUCCUAUCAUAUUUAUCAGAGCUAAGUUCUACGAGAAAAGAGAAGGAAUAUCAGCUUGACAAUGCCAAUGUUUGUUACGGUUUCGAAAUUACGAGAAUCUGGAUUAGUAUCUCGAUUUCAAUUCAAAGGUGGCUUUGAUUCACAUGGUUCUGAAAAAGAUUUGCCAUCCGAAAAGAGAGAGAGAAAAAAAAAAAAAAAAAACAACAACAACAAAACAAAGUCUAUAUCUAAAGAAAUGCCUUGAUCAAGGGUAGAUGUGUUGAAUUUUCUUGACCGCCCCCUGAAGUUCUUGAAUCACCAAGAUCGCGUGAGUUCUACCAGGAAAAGCCUCGCAAUUAUCGGCCACUUAAUGCUAUGAAUUCGAUUUGAAGCCAACAGCCUCUCUACGAAGGUCGGGCUUAGGAGAGCUAUUUCCUAUGAUAGGAGUUUAUAUACAAUUUGGAGUUUCAAUUCAGGCUUCUUGUCAAGUGUGCGGGAACUUCUUGAACCCCUCGUUUGAGAUUCUGCAUCCACACCAUUAAUUUGGCUUCAAAGGUUUGGAGUCCCAACAUCUGGGAGUAGAUUAUAUGAGAAUGUGAUUAUUUAGUGUCAAUGGUAAAUAUAUGUAUCUUGAAGGGCUUCCCAAUGGUAGGCCAUUGGAAGCCGUGAAAAGGUAUAUAUUUGAAGCUUUGUUGCCAUUGUGUCGUCGACCUUUGCCAUGACAGGUGCGCUUGCUUGGCAGGUCAAAGUGCUUCAAUAAAAAGUUCCAUUUUCGAGUGUUCGGGGGAGGGGAUGGCACGGUGCCCUUUUAUCCGGCUCCCCUCUCCCAAUCUCUCUCUCUCUCUCCCCCCCCUCCUCUCCCUCUCUCCCUGUCUCUCUUUCUUCAGUUCUUUCUGUAGUUUUGCUCAGUCUUUGCACGUCCCCUAUUACAAAGAACCGUGUGCGCAGCAAAAACUAAAUCGACGGUGAGAUUCCACCCUCCUCGAGGUACGAAUUUCGAAUUAUAUCCAUUUUCUAAAGUCGUUAUGGUCUAAUUGCAUCGACCCAUCUCGAGCUGUCAAUAUGGCAAAUUUGAAAUCAUGCCAUUUCUAUAUGCACGAUUGCGUUUCUCACUGCCAAGCAUUGCCAAACUACAUCUUUAGCUAAAUUCCGCAACUUUCAUUAUGGAAGAAUCAUAUCUAACGUCUACUUGUCAUCUGUUCUACAAAUUAUAUGCAAUUUGAUCCAUUUCUUUAUCUAUGUUUGAUCUGUAUAUGUGUUUAUGCGUUCCACUGUAUGAUUUGAAAUGGCCUUUUAUUUCGGAUGGUCUUUGAUUUUGUAUAUAAACUCUAAGCUCCAAACAGACUUUACUCUGAAUUUCUCAAGUGAGACAGCGUAGCCGCUUUCUUGGCUCUCUGAACUGCAGCUUCCUAGAAACAUUCAUCAUGGUGAGUUCUUGCAAAAGGAGGAUGGCUCAGGCCACUGCUAGGCCAGUAGAGGAGUAAUUGUAAUGCAUAUGGCUAGAUAGGGGAUUAAAUGUAAUUAGCGAAACUUUAAUUCAUAUUAGGUCUCACCUGAAUCUAUCUAUCUACCCUCUUGAGAAGAAGUUUGGAGAAGUAUGUCAUGCUAGUGUGUCUUGAAUGAUCCACAUCUCAAAGUCCUGAUGAACACAUUGAACUAUCCAUGUGAUUAAGAGUCCUCACAGCUAGCACAUUCAAUUAGUAGGGACUAGCUUAGUUUUGUACUUUACGUCAUUUUAUACUUUAUAGAUUGUAAUUGAUGUAAGGAAUUCCUACUUCCCACAGCCCUAACCUAAGGUAAUUAUAAGGUAGGGGCUCCCUCUUGUAAACACAUCUUUUGGGAAUAAAAUAACUUCCUCUUUUAUU